rnacentral:tRNA from 1 species
GCUGCUGUAGCUUAAUAAAGCACAGCACUGAAGACGCCAAGAUGGGACUUAAUUUCUCCCCAGCAACA